CCUCCCUUCCUCAGAAACCAUUCUAGAACAAGAACAGACUGGAGCCAGUUGGUGUGCUCCGGGCGGGGGAGGUGGGCAGGCAUGGAUACUCACACACACAGGAGCAGGGCGAAGCCAGCAAUGUACUCAUUCCUCUGGGCUCUGAACAACUUCAUGUGAAUGUGAUCUACAGCCACUGGGUUGUUGGUCAGGUCCACCUUCUCAGUCACACUGUACUUUCGCACCUCCCUGAACGCAUCUACAUAGAAACAGAGACAAGAGCAUGGGAAAACUAUGGAAGACUAAAGUGGUGUGGGUUUUUCCUCGGCCACUACACAAUUUGUGAUCGACAAUGACCCAAAACACACCUCCAGGCUGUGUAAGGGCUAUUUUACCAAGAAGGAGAGUGAUGGAGUGCUGUAUCAGAUGAUCUGGCCUCCACAAUCACCCGACCUCAACUCAUUUGAGAUGGUUUGGGAUGAGUUGGACCACAGAUGGAAGGAAAAGCAGCCAUCAAGUGCUCAGCAUAUGUGGGAACUCCUUCAAGACUGUUGGAAAAGCAUUCCACAUGAAGCUGGCUGAGUGUGUGGAAAACUGUCAAGGCAAAGGGUGGCUACUUUGAAGAAUCUAAAAUAUUUUAAUUUGUUUAACACUUUUGGUUACUACAUGAUUCCAUGUGUUAAUUCAUAGUUUGUCUUCACCAUUAUUCUACAAUGUAGUAAUAAAAAUAGUAAAAAUAAAGAAAAACCCUUGAAUGAGUAGGUGUGUCCAAACUUUUGGCUGGUACUGUAAGUCAAAAACUCUUAAAGGCAGUGUACUGUAUCAUUUCCGACAAAAAUGGUUGACUUGAUGUUUAUCCUGAUUUUUUCCUCCCCUGAUAUUCACUUGUCUCUCACUCCCAGUUUAUCAUGAAAAAAUUGUAGGCAAGCCGAUGUUACUGGUUUGACUGGGAUAGUUGUCUUUUAACAUUGAUGGACAAUAGCAUCUCUCGACAUCUCUGUCACUACAGGCGAUAAUUCUUCGUUGGAAAAAGAUGCAGGGAUAAGAACGGCCUUAUGACUUAAACGGAUGCAAUAGUGCACUGGAUCACGGUGAUAACACUCCUGGUGGUGCUCUGCACCAAGUGUAAUAUUACAAUGUUAACAUUCUGUUAGCUCUACUUAUAAAGGGACACAGGAUUUUGUACUUGCAUUACAAUUAUACUAAACACAAUUAUAAACGCAACAUGUAAAGUGUUGGUCCCAUGUUUCAUGAGCUGAAAUAAAAUAUCCCAGAAAUGUUCCA